rnacentral:lncRNA from 1 species
AAACCUACAAAUAUGAACACACGUUUAGUAUAGUGCCUUGAGAACGUGUUUCAACACAUCUAAUAGAUAAUACAAUAGAUAAAUAAAUACUGAUAGGAAUUCCACUCGGCAUGUACAACAACUAACUCUCCCGAGACCUAGAAUACCAUAAGUCACAAGCUUCUAAGAAUUUUGUCUAGCUGUUCUAUACAUCAGUAUAUAAAAGAAGUUAAAUAAAAAAUCAACACAAAAUAGAUAGAGGGCGACAUCAAGGUCUGCGGACGCGAGCAGAUGUACCUUGAAGUCUCUAGAUUAGCAGCAACAAUGCAUCUAAAAGUAAGGCUGGUAGGAGGUACCUGGAGCUACACACAUAAACAUGUGCAGAACAGUAGCAUGAGUACACCAUAAUGCUACCCAGUAGGUGGCAAGCAUAACCUCGGUCGAUUAGUGAUGAUGUCACAUUCCCUACUAGUAUAUAUUGAAUUAAAAGAUAGAUUAUAAAUAUUGCAAUGUAAUAAGACACCGAAAAUUAACAAAAAGGCAAUCAGAUAAAUUAAUAGUACAAUACACAGGAAUAAAAACAAGGAAUCUCCCGAGAUACCGUCUUGUAGUCCUAAAAAUAAAUGUGCAAGGGGAUCUCCCAGGAUACUGUCUCGUAGUCCCAAAGUAAAUAGACAAGGGGCUAUCCCAAAAUACCGUUCCGUAGUCCCAAAGUAAAUAUACAGCGGGAUCUCCCGAAAUACUAUCCCGUAGUCCAAAAGUAAAUAUGUAGCAGGAUCUCUCGUGAUAUUGUCCCGUAGUUCCAAAGUAAAUAUGCAGGGGGAUCUUCCAGAAUACCGCACCGUAGUCCCAAAGCAAAUACACAGCUCAAACAAUGGAAAUAAAAGUUACAUCAAGAAAUCGUACAGUUUAGACUAAGAGUAAGGCAAGGAAAUGCAGGAAAAUCCAGUAAGCAUGCUCCACAAAGUUCAGAUAAGAAUCUAAACCAUGUAGACAUACUAUUCUAGGAUAAACAUGAUUAUUACACAUGCUAAUAUAACUCAAAUAAGAAGAGACAACUUAUUACUCAGUAAAAAUUGAGUUUCAUAAUAAAUAGCCCGAGUACACAUGCAUCACCUCACGUACACGGCGCACACAUAUCACAAUAGUACCAAGUCCUAAGGGAAGUUUCCCUUACACAAGGUUAGGCAAGUUAACUACCUCGAAACAGCCCCGAUAUCGAAAAGUCCACCUACCGUCAAAAUAUUUAAAAUUUGACUUUCGCCAUUUCUAGAAUAAAUCAGCUACGGACCUCCCACUCAUGGUCCAAACAUACCCCUAAGUCCAAAAUCACCCAACGACGCUAAGGAACUGACAAAAUUCCACUUCAAUUCUUAAGCUUCCAUUUAGGGACUUUGUGUCCCAAAACACUCCGAAAUAAAAAUACCUCCCGGCAAGACACAUAAGUAGAAACAAAUACCGAAAAAGUAGAAAAUAGGGGAUUAAGGCUAUUACUCUCAAAAAUGACCGGCCAGGUCGCUAAAAAAUCCAGAUAGAGGUAUAAUUUUCUUACAUCAUGAGUAAUAAUUUGUUCACGGACACAAUAAAAAUGAAUAAAAAGAGAUAGUCUUAUUAAUGAAAACCCUCAUGGGAUACCAAAAGGCGAUAAUAAGUUAAGAGAAAAAGAAAUGAGAUAGGCUUGUUGGUUAAAACUCUUCAGGGCACUACAAGUUGAAUGGGAAUUGUUGAAUUUGUAGAGAGUUGACUCAUAGAAGCCCAAUUUCAAUAUAUGAAGGCAUGACACAAACCGAAGUUCAGAUUGGUUGUAGGGAUCGGGCUGUUCAACCCAAAAUGCCUGUCAUAAUCAUUAGAGCUAGCUAUCUCACUUAGUUAAGUCUCUUUUCCUCUCUUCUCUUAAUAGACAUAUUUGUUCAAGUUCCUAAUUUUUGUCCUACUGCCCAAAAUCAUUUCACUUUGUUCUUUUUCUUUGAGUCUCUUUAAGUUAGUCUUUGUUUAAAAAAGCAAGAAAGGACUUCAAAGACUACUAUCAACUUCUUGAUCGCACAAGGCAAGGUUUGGCCGAACACACUGCAAGUGACAUGGUUCAGAGGGAGCAAUGUGGUAAUAACUUGAGUUCAGAUGAUCAAGUGAUUAUUCAAUUUUGAGAAACAUAAGGUUCAAAAAUUGUUAAAUGCGAAGCACAAUGCAACAAAUUAGUGGUAAGAGAUCCAAGUCUUUUAGAGCCUUCUAUUUUUAAGGGCCCGGUCAGAAGGUUAAGCAAUUCCUUGUUAGCCUGAAACAACCAAUCAGAGUGAAGCACGACAUUGGUAGAAGCACAUUUUCAGCAAUGAUUCCACAUGCUAACUACCAUAUUUUCAAACUCCCAAAUUUUCUUUGUUUGAAAUAGGGGUGAGGAAUUUUUUUUGACUUUUGCACGUAUCCUCUAGGAGGAAAGUACGGUUGAAUGUAAGUUCAUUAUUGACUCGUCAAGACCCAUGUAGAUUAAUGAAUUUAGUUUUAUGUUUUUGCUUAUAGAAAAUGGGAUUUUAACUUCCAGGUUUUGGUACCCUCCUGAAUAAUAGUAUUUUGAUUUAUAGGUUUUCAGUCUUAAAAUAGGAUUUUAAUUUUAAAAUUCAUAGGAUCCUCCUAGAUAAUAGGAUUUAGUUAUAUGUUUUUUCUCUUAUAAUAUGGAAUUUAGUUUUUAAGUUUUCACUCUUAAAAAUGAAAUUUAACUUUUAGUCUUUAGGACCCUCCAUGAUUAUAGAAUUUAACAUUUAAAUUCUUAGAACCCAUUUGGAUAAUGGGAUUCGAUUAAUACUCACAGAUGUUCCGGUCAGAAAUGUUUCUUCGUUUUGUCUGCUUUGAUUUGAUUGCAGGCGCCACCUGGAUAUUGAGGAUUUCUUUCAAGUUUCAAUCCAAUAGCAGGCGCCCGCCUAGUGAAUGAGGGUAUUUAUUUCAAGAGUUUCAAGGCAGUAGCAGACGCCCAAUGGGAGAAUGAGGAUAUUUAUUUCAAGAGUUUCAAGUAAGUAGCAGGCGCCCAUUAAGAUUCAGUUUUAGUAGCAGGUGCCCACCUAGAGAAUGAGGAAAUUUUUUCAAGUUUCAAGUCAGUAGUAGGUGCCCACAAGGAGAUCAGGGGUAUUUAUUUCAAGAGUUAUAAGAUUCCGUUUUACUAGCAGUAUUCCAGCUGAAGAAUAAGAGAAUUCAUUUUAAGUUUCAAGCCAGUAGCAGGUGCCCACCUAGAGAAUGCAUGGAUUUAUUUCAAGAGUUUUAAGAUUCAGUUUUGCUAUCACGAGUCCACCUGGAGAGUGAGAGAAUUCAUUUCAAGUUUCAAGCUAGUGGCAGGCACCCACCUGGAGAAUAAAGGCAUUUCGUAUCAGAGUUUAUUUCAACUUUCAAGUCAGUAGCAGGCGCCCACCUGUAGAACGAUAUUUAUUUCAAAUUCAAUUUGAGUUUUUGUAGUAGGCGCCCACCUGAAGAAUGAGUGAUUUCAUUUCAAGUUUUAAUUUACUAAUAUGCACCCACCUGGAGAAUCAGGGUAUUUCAUAUCAAUUUUUAUUUCAAGUUUCAAGUCAGUAGCAGACUCCCUCCCAGAGAACUAGUUAGUAUCAUGCACCCACUUAAAGAGCGAGGGCACUUCUUUUAUAGUUGAAUUCAUGUUCGGAUUAGAAUGUGAGACACCCACAUGGAUAAAGAGGGUGUUUACUUCAUUAAUUGGUUUCAAGACUAGUCUAUAUUAAGUUCAAAUUCAUUUCAAAGCCAAACAUCAUGAGUCGGCCUAAAGAAUAGGGCCAACUUUGAAGUUUCAAUUGAAGCUCGAAGUAACAGAAACUCGCCUUGAGAAUGCGACUCAACAUUCAAGAUGAAUAACAAGAUCGAAGAAGAUUCAAGAUAGAAGAAUAGAUAAGAUUCUGUAGUUUUUCUUAUGACUUUUAUCUUAUCUUUUUAUUCUGAAGUAAUGACAGGAACCACGGACCGAAAACUUGAAGACACUUCAUCGACUCCCCACCUCGCUAUCCUUAUCCACUCUUAUUUACUUCUGAACUAUGCGUGUCCUGAUUCUUAUGUAGCAAAGGAUAUGUAGACAGUUCAGAUACAAGGACUAGGCCACACUCUUUUAUUCAUCUUUAUUUUUUUGAAUUAGUGUCUGGUCAGAAGUCAAUUACGUUGCUUGCUUAAUUAUUUGCUAAUUUUUUUUUCGAG